AAUUAUUUUAAAAAAUUAAUUAAUUUCGGUCUUAAGUAAAAGCAAACAGCCGAGAAAGAGAACACGUGUAACAGUAUAAUGGAUCCGUGCAGCUCUUAAAGUGACAGUAGUCUAAUAUUCCUGCUGUCUGUCAUUCAUGUUAAAUAGAAAAUCUCUCGCUG